rnacentral:ncRNA from 1 species
CAUGGAGAUCUGAAACCAUACAAAAAAACGAGGCGGAACCGAAAAGCCAAAAGAGUAGGAUAAU